AGAGAUAAGUUCCUAGCGGCGAACGGGUGAGUAACACGUGGGCAACCUUUCCUAUCGCGGGGGAUAACCCGGGGAAACUCGGGCUAAUACCGCAUAUGACCGGAAGGUCAAAGGGGGCCGCAAGGCUCCCGCCUUUGGAGGAGUCCGCGUUCGAUUAGCUAGUUGGUAGGGUAAUGGCCUACCAAGGCGACGAUCGAUAGCCGGCCUGAGAGGGUGAUCGGCCACACUGGAACUGAGACACGGUCCAG
rnacentral:rRNA from 1 species